UACGUAGGGGGCGAGCGUUGUCCGGAUUUAUUGGGCGUAAAGAGCGUGUAGGCGGCCAGGUAGGUCCGUUGUGAAAACUCGAGGCUCAACCUCGAGACGUCGGCGGAAACCCUCUGGCUAGAGUCCGGAAGAGGAGAGUGGAAUUCCUGGUGUAGCGGUGAAAUGCGCAGAUAUCGGGAGGAACAUCAGUGGCGAAGGCGGCCCUCUGGUCCAGUACUGACACUCAAGUGCGAAAGCGUGGGGAGCAAACAGG
rnacentral:rRNA from 1 species